rnacentral:rRNA from 1 species
UCUAAAUCCCAACAGCUAGCCCCACCUCUAAAUAAAACAAACAACAUUAAUACCCCCAAACACACAACACAGUAACAAUCAAAUCAUUUUACCCCCUGAGUAUGGGAGACAGAAAAGGACAAAGGAGCUAUAGAAAAAGUACCGCAAGGGAAAGCUGAAAGAGAAAUGAAACAACCCAGUAAAGAACAGAAAAGUAGAGACACCCCCUCGUACCUUUUGCAUCAUGAACUAGUUAGUAAAUAUCGAGCAAAAUGCCUUUUAGUUCGAAACCCCGAAACUGGGUGAGCUACUCCAAGACAGCCUAUUAAAGGGCCAACCCGUCUCUGUUGCAAAAGAGUGGGAAGAUCUUUGAGUAGAGGUGACAGACCUACCGAGCCAAGUUAUAGCUGGUUGCCUGUAAAAUGGAUAGAAGUUCAGCCCUUUCGAUUCUUCCCUCUAACUGGGCUAUGCCUUACAAAAGACAAUGAGAAUCCUAAGGAGUUAUUCAAAGGGGGGACAGCCCCUUUGAAAAAAGACACAACUUUACUAGCAGGUUAAAGAUCAAAAGACUGAAAAGCAACAUACCUUGGUGGGCCUAAAAGCAGCCAUCCAUGAAGAAAGCGUUAAAGCUCAAGUAUUCUGCUCCUUAUAAUUUCGACCGAAUAUCUUAAACCCCUAGAACUGCUAACAGGCCCUUCCAUGCACCCAUGGAAGAGACACUGCUAGUAUGAGUAAUAAGAGGGCUAAGGCCCUCUCCUGGCACCUGUUUACAUCAGAACGAACCCACACUGACAAUUAACGUCCCCCAUCAAAGAGGGAAUUAAGAAGCACAACAUAAUCAAGCAAAGCUCUCACACAAAAACGUUAACCCCACACAGGUGUGCCUGAGGAAAGACUAAGAGAAAAAGAAGGAACUCGGCAAACACUGGCCUCGCCUGUUUACCAAAAACAUCGCCUCUUGCACCCCAAAGUAUAAGAGGUCCCGCCUGCCCUGUGACUUGUUAGUUUAACGGCCGCGGUAUUUUGACCGUGCGAAGGUAGCGUAAUCACUUGUCUUUUAAAUGGAGACCUGUAUGAAUGGCAUAACGAGGGCUAAGCUGUCUCCUUUUUCCAGUCAAUGAAAUUAAUCUUCCCGUGCAGAAGCGGGAAUAGGCACAUAAGACGAGAAGACCCUAUGGAGCUUUAGACAAAAGGCAACCCAACUUUAAACAACUGGACCAACAGAACUAACAAAAUGGACCUUGCCCUUAUGUCUUUGGUUGGGGCGACCACGGAAGAACAAAAAUCCUCCGCGAGGAACAGGAAAUCUUUCCUCAAAGCUAGAGCGACAGCUCCCACAAACAGAAUUUCUGACCAACAAGACCCGGCAAAGCCGAUCAACGGACCGAGUUACCCUAGGGAUAACAGCGCAAUCCCCUUUUAGAGCCCAUAUCGACAAGGGGGUUUACGACCUCGAUGUUGGAUCAGGACAUCCUAAUGGUGCAGCCGCUAUUAAGGGUUC